rnacentral:lncRNA from 1 species
CAAUAUCCCAAAGACCAUAUACUAGGCAUGGUACUGUUAGACCCAUACAGUUUCUACUCGAGUCUCGCUCUAAUAUGAUUCUCCCAGAGAACUCUUUCUCUCUCAAUCUGAAUGACCCUGGCCAGGGAUUUGUCUGAGCAACAACAUAUGAAACAUUCCUCUCAUGACACCGAGAGUGGAUGAUCCUCUAUCGACACUCAAUAGUCCUC